rnacentral:sRNA from 1 species
AAUGCANAAUAUUGGAAACCAAUGUCCGAACAUAUAAUUUCGCCCCCGUAAUAUA